rnacentral:misc_RNA from 1 species
AGAUUCCGAGACACCUGUGCUGAGGCUGACAGAUUCUUCAAAAGAAAGGGUUUGAGAUCCAAUCAGGAAAAGGAAGCAUGUAAAAGCAUUCUUGCAGUAAAUACAGAAGUUAAGCCUAUUGCUGUGAAAGGAGAUAGAAGCAAGUCUGUACUGUUUGAUGGAAGUAUGCUUGCUCAAGAGCUCGAUAAUUUGGAGAAGAAAUGGGAGAUACUGAGCAAAGUGUGGGUGGAAUUGUUGUCAUAUGCUGCUAGCCACUGCAGAGCGAACGCCCAUGCCCAGCAGAUAAGUAAAGGUGGAGAGCUUAUUACUUUGGUUUGGUUAUUGAUGGCUCAUUUUGGACUAGGGGACCAGUUCCAAAUCAAUGAGGGUCAUGCAAGAGCAAAACUGAUUGUAGGCAAGUAGCUCUAUCAAACAGCAAUAUGUUAGAUUGAUGAUUUAGUAUCCAGGUCUUCUCUUUUCUUUAUUGAAUUGUGUUUUCUGUUUUAUUUUCUUUUUCUGCUCCAAUGUUGGCUGGCCAGGACAACAUAAUUUGCAC